AUAAUUUAGAUAAGGAAUAGUAGCUGAGGUCGGUAUUUUGUAGAGAGGGCAUCGUGGCUGAAAGUGCCUAUUUUCCGUUUCAGACGAACUCACCUUAAAUAAUUCCUGUUGAAUAAAGUAGGCGGGAACGGUUGUUUUACCGUUAGCAAACUUUAAAGUGCCAGUUGUAUGACUGGAAAAUAGGUGGUACCGCGAGUUUUAUUUACUCGUCCUAUAU
rnacentral:ncRNA from 1 species